AUGCAGUCGAGGGGCAGCGGGGGAGAAAGUUCGCUUUUUCCUGCCGGCGACCGGCGCACGGGUGCGUAACGCGUAUCGAACCUGCCUCGUACUCAGGAACAGGCUCCUGAAAAGGAGAUUAAUGCCUGAUGGUCUCUGGUGUUUACAUGGACAUUAGAGUAAAGAUUUAUCGGUACGAGAUGGCGAUGCGUCCCAUUAGAUAGUAGGCGGGGUAACGGCCCACCUAGUCGACGAUGGGUAGGGGUUCUGAGAGGAAGGUCCCCCACAUUGGAACUGAGACACGGUCCAAACUCCUACGGGAGGCAGCAGUGAGGAAUAUUGGUCAAUGGACGAGAGUCUGAACCAGCCAAGUAGCGUGCAGGAGGACGGCCCUCUGGGUUGUAAACUGCUUUUAGUUGGGAAUAUAAAGGAGCACGUGUGCUCCAUGGAAGGUACCAUCAGAAAAAGGACCGGCUAAUUCCGUGCCAGCAGCCGCGGUAAUACGGAAGGUCCGGGCGUUAACCGGAUUUAUUGGGUUUAAAGGGAGCGCAGGCGGAUGCGUAAGUCAGCUGUGAAAGUUUGAGGCUCAACCUUAAAAUUGCAGUUGAAACUGCGUGUCUUGAGUGCACACAGGGAUGCCGGAAUUCACGGUGUAGCGGUGAAAUGCUUAGAUAUCGUGAAGAACUCCAAUCGCGAAGGCAAGUGUCCGGAGUGCAACUGACGCUGAGGCUCGAAAGUGUGGGUAUCGAACAGGAUUAGAUACCCUGGUAGUCCACACAGUAAACGAUGAAUACUCGCGGUUUGUCCGCUUUAGGAUAAGUCGCCAAGCGAAAGCAUUAAGUAUUCCACCUGGGGAGUACGCCGGCAACGGUGAAACUCAAAGGAAUUGACGGGGGCCCGCACAAGCGGAGGUACAUGUGGUUUAAUUCGACGAUACGCGAGGAACCUUACCCGGGCUUGAACUGUGCAGGAAGGAAGGGAGAGACCCCUUUCGUCUUCGGACCUGCAUGGAGGUGCUGCAUGGUUGUCGUCAGCUCGUGCCGUGAGGUGUCGGCUUAAGUGCCAUAACGAGCGCAACCCUUAUUCUCGUUUGCCAUCGCGUAAUGGCGGGCACUCCGGGGAUACUGCCAUCGUAAGAUGUGAGGAAGGUGGGGAUGACGUCAAAUCAGCACGGCCCUCACGUCCGGGGCUACACACGUGUUACAAUGGGGAGUACAGGGGGCAGCGACCGGGCGACCGGAAGCCAAUCCAUUAAAACUCCUCUCAGUUCGGAUCGGAGUCUGCAACCCGACUCCGUGAAGCUGGAUUCGCUAGUAAUCGCGCAUCAGCCAUGGCGCGGUGAAUACGUUCCCGGGCCUUGUACACACCGCCCGUCAAGCCAUGAAAGCCGGGGGUGCCUGAAAGCCGUGACCGCAAGGGUCGG
rnacentral:rRNA from 1 species